rnacentral:rRNA from 1 species
CGGGAACCGGAGCUAAUACGAUAAUAUUUGAACCGCAUGGUUCAAAAGUAGAAAGACGGUCUUGCUGUCACUUAUAGAUGGAUCCGCGCUGCAUUAGCUAGUUGGUAAGGUAACGGCUUACCAAGGCAACGAUGCAUAGCCGACCUGAGAGGGUGAUCGGCCACACUGGAACUGAGACACGGUCCAGACUCCCUACGGGAGGCAGCAGCC